rnacentral:rRNA from 1 species
GACGAACGCUGGCGGCGUGCCUAAUACAUGCAAGUAGAACGCUGAAGGAGGAGCUUGCUCUUCUGGAUGAGUUGCGAACGGGUGAGUAACGCGUAGGUAACCUGCCUGGUAGCGGGGGAUAACUAUUGGAAACGAUAGCUAAUACCGCAUAAGAGUAGAUGUUGCAUGACAUUUACUUAAAAGGUGCAAUUGCAUCACUACCAGAUGGACCUGCGUUGUAUUAGCUAGUUGGUGGGGUAACGGCUUACCAAGGCGACGAUACAUAGCCGACCUGAGAGGGUGAUCGGCCACACUGGGACUGAGACACGGCCCAGACUCCUACGGGAGGCAGCAGUAGGGAAUCUUCGGCAAUGGACGGAAGUCUGACCGAGCAACGCCGCGUGAGUGAAGAAGGUUUUCGGAUCGUAAAGCUCCGUUGUAAGAGAAGAACGAGUGUGAGAGUGGAAAGUUCACACUGUGACGGUAUCUUACCAGAAAGGGACGGCUAACUACGUG